GACGAACGCUGGCGGCGUGCCUAAUACAUGCAAGUCGAGCGAAGUUUUUCUGGUGCUUGCACUAGAAAAACUUAGCGGCGAACGGGUGAGUAACACGUAAAGAACCUGCCUCAUAGACUGGGACAACUAUUGGAAACGAUAGCUAAUACCGGAUAACAGUAUUUCUCGCAUGGGAGAUAUUUAAAAGUUGGUUAUGCUAACACUAUGAGAUGGCUUUGCGGUGCAUUAGCUAGUUGGUGGGGUAAAGGCCCACCAAGGCGACGAUGCAUAGCCGACCUGAGAGGGUGAUCGGCCACACUGGGACUGAGACACGGCCCAGACUCCUACGGGAGGCAGCAGUAGGGAAUCUUCCGCAAUGGGCGAAAGCCUGACGGAGCAACGCCGCGUGAGUGAAGAAGGAUUUCGGUUCGUAAAGCUCUGUUGUUAGGGAAGAAUGGAUAUGUAGUAACUAUACAUGUAAGAGACGGUACCUAACCAGAAAGCCACGGCUACUCGC
rnacentral:rRNA from 1 species